ACCAACGCUGGCGGCAUGCCUCACACAUGCAAGUCGCACGAGACCUUCGGGUCUAGUGGCGCACGGGUGCGUAACGCGUGGGAACCUGCCCUUAGGUUCGGAAUAACUCCCCGAAAGGGGUGCUAAUACCGGAUAAUGUCUUCGGACCAAAGAUUUAUCGCCUUUGGAUGGGCCCGCGUUGGAUUAGCUAGUUGGUAGGGUAAAAGCCUACCAAGGCGACGAUCCAUAGCUGGUCUGAGAGGAUGAUCAGCCACACUGGGAUUGAGACACGGCCCAGACUCCUACGGGAGGCAGCAGUGGGGAAUAUUGGACAAUGGGCGAAAGCCUGAUCCAGCAAUGCCGCGUGAGUGAUGAAGGCCUUAGGGUUGUAAAGCUCUUUUACCCGGGAUGAUAAUGACAGUACCGGGAGAAUAAGCUCCGGCUAACUCCGUG
rnacentral:rRNA from 1 species